rnacentral:rRNA from 1 species
UACGAAGGGGGCUAGCGUUGCUCGGAAUCACUGGGCGUAAAGGGUGCGUAGGCGGGUCUUUAAGUCAGGGGUGAAAUCCUGGAGCUCAACUCCAGAACUGCCUUUGAUACUGAGGAUCUUGAGUUCGGGAGAGGUGAGUGGAACUGCGAGUGUAGAGGUGAAAAUUCGUAGAUAUUCGCAAGAACACCAGUGGCGAAGGCGGCUCACUGGCCCGAUACUGGACGCUGAGGCACGAAAGCGUGGGGAG